CUUCCUUCUUACGUUCUCUUUUUACUCCUUUUGCCCUCUCUCCUUCCUUUGUUCCUUUUUCUUCCUCCUCGUUUCUUUGUUUUUCUUUAUUGUUUCCAAAUUUUGGAUAAUCCGCCAGUAUUGUAUUGAUGAAGAGGAAAAUGGAAAUUCUGAAGAAAGAAAUUACUUCCACCUGAGACGCUCAGACAGAGGAAAGGCUGUGUGUGAGGAAUGGCAUCCGAGAGGCUGGGUGAAGAGAUGCCACACCCGAGGAGGUGUGCAGGGACAGCAUUCCAGGAGCAGGAUGUCAGGUGCAGAGACAAUGUGCAGGCUCUCUGCAGAGCCCUCAGAGCAGUUCAGCUCCUGGAAGCAGAAGAUGCCAAGAGUGAAAUAAUGCAAACUAAGACGGAGUUUCGCUCUUGUUACCCAGGCUGGAGUGCAAAGGCGCGAUCUCGGCUCACCGCAACCUCCGCCUCCUGGGUUCAGCCAAUUCUCCUGCCUCAGCCUCCUGAGUAGCUGGGAUUACAGGAAGAUUGCAACCCCCAGUGUAACCUGUGUAUAUACCUGUCUUCACAGCUGGAAAGAACUUAAUGCAUCUGUGUAAAUUAAUUAAGAAUUGUAAAUCGCCAUGACAAAACCAUCAAUGAGGUUCUUUUGAUAAGAUCCACAUAUAUUUUCAAGGCCAUAUAUUGUUUUUCUCAUAAAUGUAAGCAUGCAAGCAUUUAAGAUGCAUUUUGGAAAAAGUCACACUUUCAUGAUUUAAAAAAACGAAUACAAACAAUGUAAGUUCAUCUUGAUGCAAGACACACCCACAAACACAUAUAUUUCACCAUUAACCAUCUUUACAUUAUACCAAUUGAAACAAAAAUCUAACACAAGGAGUUUUGAAAAUACUGUAGUAGUAAUUCAACAUCAGGAAGCUGGGAAUAUGGCAAUCCAAUCUGUAGCACAUCUGUCUGGGAUAAAAAAUGACCAGCCCACUAUUAGCUACCAUUUAUUGACCAUAUGCUCCAUACUAUACCCUUUACAUCUGUGAUCUCUUUUAAUCCUCAUGACACUCCUGAGAGGAAAACAGUGUUGUCCUCAAAUGCUGAGGCUUAGAGAAUCUCAAUGACUUGCUCAAUUUCACAUUCUAUUAAGGGGCAGACCCCAGGAAGGUCUGACUCCAGUGUUCUUGCUCUUCACAAUACAUUAAACUAGUGGUGAUGAGGAAAAUGCAAUUAGAUAAAUCAUUGAUUUGCUGAUUGCAUUUCUCUUGCAGAGGUAACUCAUUUCUUUCUUUUUUUUUGUAUUUUUUAGGUAAUAAGACUUGCUUUCCUUACUGAAAAUACCAUCUAUGAACAAAUGACAGAGUAGGCACAUUCCACAAAUAUACUUAAAUUUCAAAUAUUUUCAUUUUCUAAAGAGACCCAGGAUCAGUCAAUUAUUUAUUCCCUAUAUAAUAUUCUACUGAUAUCUAUAAUCAAGACAAUUAUUCAUUGCAUAUGUGAAAUUGUAUUGCUACAAAUAAUCAAGGCAGAGAAUUUUUGACACACUGAAAAGUGAUGAUAUUUUGCAAUAAGAAAAUUCUCUGGGGCCCUAUAGAACAUUCCCUAAUUGUUCCUCUUCUGUUUUAUUUAAAUUAUUCUACUUUAAAUUAUAAAGAGGAAUGUGAAUGUCAUUUCUGUUGUUGAUAAGUUUUGUGAUGACAAGCACUUGUCAUGUGACACCCAGAGAGGGGAGCAUGCAUGGGAAAAAUGUGCGAGAACCAGACAGGGUAGACACUAAGACUGAAGUAUGCCAGUCCUUAGAAUUGACAGCCAGCACAACAAACAAAAUCAAAGCAAAGGAAAACCAAAGAAGCAGGCAUCCCAUGAGGAAGACAACAGUCUUUCCUCUGAAACUGCCACGGUUUGGGGUUGAGUGAGGAAGUUAACUCUAGCGCAAGACCGAUAGAGAUGGCACAGCUGCCUCUGGUGGCCCAGAUGCUUCAGGACAGAAAGUAACUGCUGUGGAGAACGAGUGAUCUGUCUUCCUGAACAGACCAUGCAGACAGCUCAUGUCUGUGUGCUUCUCUUGUCUGGUUCUUAUAAUGCCCUCUGCUCACCACUCAAACUGUAGGGCACUCAGAAGCAUGUUGGCUUACUAUAUUCUUCUUCAACUUCCGUGGAGGACUUAAUGGCAGAGGGCAAAACUUUGCCUUCCAGAUCCCAGCACAUGCCAGUGAUUUCCAGUCUAAGCAAGCAUCCUCAGUAGGGGUGACUUCUCUGUCCAGGGUGUUAUCCUGUGGCCGGGCCCACCAUGGUCUGCUAGCUUGCUGCUGGCUGGUUCGUGUUCUUUCCUGGCCUACUACUCUGCUUCUGAGAAUAGCAACCUACCCAGCAAAGGCAGUUAUCCACCUGACUGCCAUUCAGGCCUUUCUACUUUAUUUACAAGGCUUUUCAUUUUUAACCUAAAGCAUUUUGUUCAUAAUGUAAGAAGCAGCACAGGGUAGUAAUGUGAUCUUGAAUUUUCUUUUUUUUUCUCUAAAUUUUCUUUUCUUUUAUCAUAUAUAUAUAUAUAUAUAUAUAUAUAUAAUUGCAUUUUAGGUUUUGGGGUACAUGUGAAGAACAUGCAAGAUUCUUGCAUAGGUUCAUACAUGGCAAUGUGGUUUGCUGCCUUCCUCCCCAUCACCUAUACUAUAUCUGGCAUUUUCCCCCCUGUUAUCCCUCCCCAACUCCCCACCCUGCACUGCCCCUCCCCUAGUUCCCCCACACAGACCCCAGUGUGUGAUGCUUCCCUCCCUGUGUCCAUGUGUUCUCAUUGUUCAACAACUGCUUAUGAGUGAGAACAUGCGAUGUUUGAUUUUCUGUCCUUUUCAAUAAAACAGACCUGGUUUGAAUUCUGGUUGGGCCCUUAUGCUGUGUAGGCUUAAAGAAAUGGCUUUCCUACUAACCUUCAGUUUCCUUCAAAUGGACGUAAUAUACCUUACAUAGGCUUAUUGAGAUAAAUAGAUGAAACAGAGAAGAUGAAAGCCUUGCGUUCAUUAUAGAAGCUCAUGAUAUGUUUCUAUCCUUCUCCUACCCCUUCAUCAUCCAUUUACUCCGAGUACAGUCCAAAUAAAAUUUGACUAUGAAUAAAUACCAAAUACAUGUUU